CUCACACUAAACAUUAAACUCAUCUGACGGGAUUCACAACAUCUCUUUAAUAAUUAAUGGUACGCGCUCAGGACAAAAUCCUCUAUGAUGCAUAAAUACUUGCUAGUACCGGCACCUCCUGGUUGUUUUGGAAGUUUGGAGAGGAUGGUGGAUGGACACCCCCUCUUUUUGAAAACAUUUUUUCUUCAUCUGUCAUUUGAAUUACCAAAGCAUUACAAGUGUAUCAUUAAACAUUUAAACAUUAGAGAAAUAUACAGAAUGAGGGAAGUUAAAGUCCCCGGAAUCUGAGCCCUCAGGGAUGACCACUAUUGAGUUUGUGUGGCAUUUUCCUCCUUUUUUUUUUUUUUUUUGAGACGGAGUUUCACUCUUGUUGCCCAGGCUGGAGUACAGUGCGAGACUCUACCUCAAAAACAGAAAAGAAACAAAAACUAAAUGCCUCUGAGCAGCACUACUGUCUCCAUGGGUGGCCACCACAGGGAUGGGCCUGGAGCUGUCCUCGAAGGGGUCUUCGCCAAGCCCUAGUGAAGAAAAAAAGGACGCUACC
rnacentral:lncRNA from 1 species